GUGAAGGAGACGAGCGAGGGGAGGCCCCUCUGGCUGCAGGCUGGGGUUGUGCUGGGGCCGAUCGGCCUGUGGUCCAUGGAUGGGCCGACUGGUUUCCUCUUUCCAAGAGAAACGCGAAGGAGAGGCUAGUGGAAUCGCUGGACUUUAAUUAAACCGAAGAAAAUACAGUGGGAGGAGGGAAAAACGAUCCAGAAGGAGGAGGAGGAGGCCGAGGCCGAGACAAGGAAGGAAGUCCGGGCUCUACAGAGCCUGGACAUCUCCUGGGGGCCUGAUAGCUGGUGGUUGCAUGGUUCUUUUCCCACCCCAGUUACCCCUGGGUCGAGGCCAAACACCUUCUUAAAAACACGAAAGGAAGAAAGAAAAGGAAAAAGGGAAAGAGAAGGUAACUUGCCUUACAGACCUACCCCAUCCUCCUCUGGAGACUAAAAGCCGGCCAGCGUGUUCAACGACGUCGACGACCUGCUACAGGAUUUCCAGUCCCAAGAAUUGGGAGUCUUGUCUGCCCCUCCCAUCAACCCCACCUGCACAAGGAAGCUUCAUUUGCUUUGGACCACAAAGGCGGCCUCCUGACUCCUCUUUCCCUGAAAUCCAGCUCUUCUUCUGGAACCUUCAUCUUGGAUCCUGGAGCCAUCAUCCAGUGAGUCACAUGGGGCCGGAAAUUCUGGAUCUCUUAGCCCCUCUCAACUUCUCUGUCAACAAAUAUUUAUUGGACAUCUUCAAAGAGGCCCACGCCCUGUUCAUGGUGCAUCACAAAACAAAUCCUGCCCUCAUGGGGCUUGCUGUCAGCUACCGUGGUGUGGACUCUCCUUCUGAGCCUCUGAGGUCCCCUCCUGCCUGCUGUCAUCCUCGGUCCUCUCUGUCACCUGGAAUUCUCUGCUCAGAUGCCAGCGUGAUCUUACAAACCCAGUUCAACCCUUGUUGACACUUGGCCAAAAAAUCUCAAAUAAAGACAUUUUAAAAUGUGGAGUAAAAAAAUAAUGUUGUAAAUUAUAACAGACGGCUUUAAAAAAACUGCACUGAAGCAAUGUUAUUCUUGGAUAUAUGUAUGUGGCAAAAAUAUAAAAACAUGAGCUGGAAAAAAAGAGCCCAAAUUCA